rnacentral:rRNA from 1 species
CCUACGGGUUGCACCAGUGGGGAAUAUUGCACAAUAGGCGCAAGCCUGAUGUAGCCAUGCCGCGUGUAUGAAGAAGGCCUUCGGGUUGUAAAGUACUUUCAGCGAGGAGGAAGGCAUUAAGGUUAAUAACCUUGGUGAUUGACGUUACUCGCAGAAGAAGCACCGGCUAACUCCGUGCCAGCAGCCGCGGUAAUACGGAGGGUGCAAGCGUUAAUCGGAAUUACUGGGCGUAAAGCGCACGCAGGCGGUCUGUUAAGUCAGAUGUGAGAUCCCCGGGCUCAACCUGGGAACUGCAUUUGAAACUGGCAGGCUUGAGUCUUGUAGAGGGGGGUAGAGUUCCAGGUGUAGCGGUGAAAUGCGUAGAGAUCUGGAGGAAUACCGGUGGCGAAGGCGGCCCCCUGGACAAAGACUGACGCUCAGGUGCGAAAGCGUGGGGAGCAAACAGGAUUAGAUACCCGUGUAGUC